rnacentral:rRNA from 1 species
GAUGAACGCUGGCGGCGUGCCUAAUACAUGCAAGUCGAGCGAACAGACGAGGAGCUUGCUCCUUUGACGUUAGCGGCGGACGGGUGAGUAACACGUGGGUAACCUACCUAUAAGACUGGGAUAACUUCGGGAAACCGGAGCUAAUACCGGAUAAUAUUUCGAACCGCAUGGUUCGAUAGUGAAAGAUGGCUUUGCUAUCACUUAUAGAUGGACCUGCGCCGUAUUAGCUAGUUGGUAAGGUAACGGCUUACCAAGGCAACGAUUCGUAGCCGACCUGAGAGGGUGAUCGGCCACACUGGAACUGAGACACGGUCCAGACUCCUACGGGAGGCAGCAGUAGGGAAUCUUCCGCAAUGGGCGAAAGCCUGACGGAGCAACGCCGCGUGAGUGAUGAAGGUCUUCGGAUCGUAAAACUCUGUUAUUAGGGAAGAACAAACGUGUAAGUAACUGUGCACGUCUUGACGGUACCUAAUCAGAAAGCCACGGCUAACUACGUG